CCUACGGGUGGCAGCAGUGGGGAAUAUUGGUCAAUGGGCGCAAGCCUGACCCAGCAACGCCGCGUGAAGGAAGAAGGCUUUCGGGUUUUAAACUUCUUUUCUCAGGGACGAAGAAAGUUACGGUACCUGAUGAAUAAGCCACGGCUAACUAUGGGCCAGCAGCCGCGGUAAUACGUAGGUGGCAAGCGUUAUCCGGAUUUAUUGGGUGUAAAGGGCGUGUAGGCGGGAGCGCAAGUCAGAUGUUAAAACUCAGGGCUCAACCCUGAGCCUGCAUUUGAAACGGUGUUUCUUGAGUGCGGGAGAGGUAAGCGGAAUUCCGGGUGUAGCGGUGAAAUGCGUAGAUAUACGGAGGAACACCAGUGGCGAAGGCGGAUUGCUGGACAGUAACUGACGCUGAGGCGCGAAAGCGUGGGGAGCAAACAGGAUUAGAUACCCGAGUAGUC
rnacentral:rRNA from 1 species